rnacentral:rRNA from 1 species
CCUACGGGCGGCAGCAGUGAGGAAUAUUGGUCAAUGGGCGCGAGUCUGAACCAGCCAAGUAGCGUGAAGGAUGACUGCCCUACGGGUUGUAAACUUCUUUUAUAAAGGAAUAAAGUGAGGCACGUGUGCCUUUUUGUAUGUACUUUAUGAAUAAGGAUCGGCUAACUCCGUGCCAGCAGCCGCGGUAAUACGGAGGAUCCGAGCGUUAUCCGGAUUUAUUGGGUUUAAAGGGAGCGUAGGUGGGUUGUUAAGUCAGUUGUGAAAGUUUGCGGCUCAACCGUAAAAUUGCAGUUGAUACUGGCAGCCUUGAGUACAGUUGAGGUAGGCGGAAUUCGUGGUGUAGCGGUGAAAUGCUUAGAUAUCACGAAGAACUCCGAUUGCGAAGGCAGCCUACUAGACUGCAACUGACAUUGAUGCUCGAAAGUGUGGGUAUCAAACAGGGUUAGAUACCCGAGUAGUC